rnacentral:rRNA from 1 species
GACGAACGCUGGCGGCGUGCUUAACACAUGCAAGUCGAACGCUGAAGCUCAGCUUUUGUUGGGUGGAUGAGUGGCGAACGGGUGAGUAACACGUGAGUAACCUGCCCCCUUCUUUGGGAUAACGCCCGGAAACGGGUGCUAAUACUGGAUAUUCACUGGUCUUCGCAUGGGGGUUGGUGGAAAGGGUUUUUCUGGUGGGGGAUGGGCUCGCGGCCUAUCAGCUUGUUGGUGGGGUGAUGGCCUACCAAGGCUUUGACGGGUAGCCGGCCUGAGAGGGUGACCGGUCACAUUGGGACUGAGAUACGGCCCAGACUCCUACGGGAGGCAGCAGUGGGGAAUAUUGCACAAUGGGCGCAAGCCUGAUGCAGCGACGCCGCGUGAGGGAUGGAGGCCUUCGGGGUGUGAACCUCUUUCGCUCAUGGUCAAGCCGCAACAAUGGUUGUGGUGAGGGUAGUGGGUAAAGAAGCGCCGGCUAACUACG